AUGGGUAACUGCUUCGGCUCCGAAGAGACCGACGUGGAGGCUGUCAAGGCAGUGGCGCAUCAUGCUCAUGCCAGAGCAGCGAUGGCGAGGCCCGGCAUGGUCGCGCCCCAGCCCAAUGCACCCGCAGCAAAGAGCUCCCCGGGGCAGGCUCGGAAGUCGCCGAGCGCGCCCACGACCUCCGGCAGCGGCAGCGGGAGCGGCCGUCCGGUGGCUGGAGGCGCCACGAAUGGCGGCAGCGAGGCCAGCCCCAGCCGGGAGGGGAGGAUCCUGGAGGCGCCCAACCUCCGGAUCUUCACGUUCGCGGAGCUCAAGGCCGCCACGCGGAACUUCAAGUCGGACACCCUUCUCGGCGAGGGCGGGUUCGGGCGGGUGCACAAGGGGUGGGUCGACGAGAAGACCAUGAGCCCGGCCAGGAGCGGCGCCGGCAUGCCCGUCGCCGUCAAGAAGCUCAACCCCGAGAGCCUGCAGGGCGUCCAAGAAUGGCAGUCGGAGGUGAAUUUCCUGGGAAGGCUCAUCCAUCCCAACCUGGUGAGGCUGCUGGGGUACUGCUGGGAGGACAAGGAGCUCCUGCUCGUGUACGAGUACAUGGCCAAAGGCAACCUCGAGGAUCACCUCUUCAGAAGCGAGCCACGGAAAGGCGCGGGCGCGUUCCAGCCGCUGUCGUGGAGCCUCCGGCUGCGCGUGGCGAUCGACGCGGCGCGCGGCCUCGCCUUCCUGCACUCCUCGGAGAAGCACGUCAUCUACCGGGACUUCAAGGCCUCCAACAUCCUCCUCGACACGCAAUUCCACGCGAAGCUCUCGGACUUCGGGCUGGCCAAGGACGGGCCGGCGGGCGGCAGCAGCCACGUGACGACCCGGGUGAUGGGCACCUACGGCUACGCGGCGCCGGAGUACGUGGCGACGGGGCACCUGUACGUGAAGAGCGACGUGUACGGCUUCGGCGUGGUGCUGCUGGAGGUGCUGACGGGCCUGCGCGCGCUGGACACGGACCGGCCCAGCGGCCAGCACAACCUGGUGGACUGGGCCAAGCCGCACCUGGCGGACCGCCGGAAGCUGGCGCGCCUCAUGGACCCGCGCCUCGAGGGCCAGUACUCGUCCAGGGGCGCGCAGCGGGCGGCGCAGCUCACGCUGCGUUGCCUUGCCGCCGAGCACACCAACCGGCCGUCCAUGAAGGAGGUCGUCGCCGUGCUCCAGGAGGUCGAGUCCAUGUCCAGGGGCGGCUUCGUCGGCUCGGCGUCCCCGCGACCAAACAACGCGCGGAGCGGUCACGGUUACGGCCAGUCGCCACCGGCCAGGGUACAUGUCGGAACGGGCUAG
rnacentral:rRNA from 1 species